rnacentral:rRNA from 1 species
GUCGAGCGGACCGAUGGGAGCUUGCUCCUUUAGGUUAGCGGCGGACGGGUGAGUAACACGUGGGCAACCUGCCCUGCAGACUGGGAUAACUUCGGGAAACCGGAGCUAAUACCGGAUAACACCGAAAACCGCAUGGUUUUCGGUUGAAAGGCGGCUUUUAGCUGUCACUGCAGGAUGGGCCCGCGGCGCAUUAGCUAGUUGGUGAGGUAACGGCUCACCAAGGCGACGAUGCGUAGCCGACCUGAGAGGGUGACCGGCCACACUGGGACUGAGACACGGCCCAGACUCCUACGGGAGGCAGCAGUAGGGAAUCUUCCGCAAUGGACGAAAGUCUGACGGAGCAACGCCGCGUGAACGAUGAAGGCCUUCGGGUCGUAAAGUUCUGUUGUUAGGGAAGAACAAGUACCAGAGUAACUGCUGGUACCUUGACGGUACCUAACCAGAAAGCCACGGCUAACUACGUGCCAGCAGCCGCGGUAAU